GAACGAACGCUGGCGGCGCGUCUUAAGCAUGCAAGUCGAACGGCAAGAGGUAGCAAUACCUCCUAGAGUGGCGGACUGGUGAGUAACACGUGGGUGACAUACCCUUCAGAUGGGGAUAGCUAUUAGAAAUAGUAGAUAAUACCGAAUACGAGCACAGGGGUUAGAGAUCUGUGAGGAAAGGAGCUAAGGCUCCGCUGAAGGAAUGGCCUGCGGCCCAUUAGCUAGUUGGUGAGGUAAGAGCCCACCAAGGCGAUGAUGGGUAUCCGGCCUUAGAGGGUGAACGGACACAUUGGGACUGAGAUACGGCCCAGACUCCUACGGGAGGCAGCAGCUAAGAAUAUUCCGCAAUGGACGAAAGUCUGACGGAGCGACGCCGCGUGGAUGAAGAAGGCCGGAAGGUUGUAAAAUCCUUUUGAAACUGAAGAAUAAGCGUUGUAGGGAAUGACAGCGUGGUGACAGUAGGUUUUGAAUAAGCAACGGCUAAUUACGUGCCAGCAGCAGC
rnacentral:rRNA from 1 species